rnacentral:rRNA from 1 species
AUUGAACGCUGGCGGCAGGCCUAACACAUGCAAGUCGAACGAGUGGCGGACGGGUGAGUAAUGUCUGGGCAACUGCCCGAUGGAGGGGGAUAACUACUGGAAACGGUAGCUAAUAACGCAUACCAUCGGAUCUGCCCAGAUGGGAUGAGCUAGUAGGUGGGGUAACGGCUCACCUAGGCGACGAUCCCUAGCUGGUCUGAGAGGAUGACCAGCCACCCUGGAACGUAGACACGGUCCAGCCUCCUACGGGAGGCAGCAGUGGGGAAUAUGGCACAAUGGGCGAAAGCCUGAUGCAGCCAGGCCGGGUGUAUGAAGAAGUCCUUCGGGUUGUAAAGUACUGUCAGCGAGGAGGCGUUACUCGCAGAAGAAGCACCGGCUAACUCCGUGCCAGCAGCCGCGGUAAUUC